ensembl:lncRNA
CUCAGAGCUGCUGUUAUGGGAUCUUUCCACUGAUCUCUGAGAAUCUACAAUGGUUUAUACAGAGCAAGAUUCUUUGGUAUGAUAGAAAUUUGAACAGGUGUUUACCAGCAUACUAUUUUCCGCAUGCAUACCCACCUACACAUAAGCUUACAGUGGAAACGCGAUAAAUCCCUUCUGCAUGCAAACACAGCUUCAGAGUUCACUGAGGACGGAACAUGGCAGAGUUGCUUUUGAAAGCCCGGCUUCACCUCAUUGAGAGAGUUAAUGAAGCUCUCCUUAAGGAUCUUAUUGACGGUCUCAGGGCUGCAAACCCGCCAGUUCUUACUAGCAGGGAAGCGAAUGAGAUAUUGCAGGCCCACAAAGUGAUAGAAGACAAGACUGGAAUACUAAUAAAUAUGGUGUAUGAAAAAGGUGACACUGCCAGCGCCGUUAUGAUGUCUAUUUUGGAACAAAAAGAUGUAAACCUCGCCAAAUACCUUGGCUUUAUCCCGGACUAGCCCGUCAGACACAAAAUAUCAUGUAUGGACAUGAAUAGACUCAAUUAUAUAAAAAAUAAAUAAAUAAAUAAAAAACUCACCAGACCUGCCAAACAAGAAUGUGAAGGAAAUUUGAUCUUCAUUGCUUUUAACUUGUUUGAUAAAACUCAUGCCUGUGUGAGUAUGUUGUGGCACACAAAUAAAUAAAAAUCAAUUUGGACAAACCGAUCAUAAUCAUCUAUGAAUUGAACCUUUCUGUAAAUUAUCUGUACUUUU